rnacentral:rRNA from 1 species
AUAACACCUGGAAACAGAUGCACAUUGGGACUGAGACACGGCCCAAACUCCUACGGGAGGCAGCAGUGGGGAAUAUUGCACAAUGGGGGAAACCCUGAUGCAGCGACGCCGCGUGAGCGAAGAAGUAUUUCGGUAUGUAAAGCUCUAUCAGCAGGGAAGAAACUGACGGUACCUGACUAAGAAGCACCGGCUAAAUACGUGCCAGCGGUAAUACGUAUGGUGCAAGCGUUAUCCGGAUUUACUGGGUGUAAAGGGAGCGUAGACGGAUUUGCAAGUAAAGCCCGGGGCUCAACCCCGGGACUGCUUUGGAAACUGUAGGUCUUGAGUGCAAUUGGAGAGAGCGGUGAAAUGCGUAGAUAUUAGGAGGAACACCAGUGGCGAAGGCGGCUUACUGGACAGUAACUGACGU